UAAUGGUGGCCCGGGCGGGGCAGCCUUCGGGCUGGCCGGUACCCAUUGAGGCCGGUAUUCCUACCCCCGUCCGGGUCACCACCCA
rnacentral:antisense_RNA from 1 species